rnacentral:rRNA from 2 species
UACGUAGGGGGCAAGCGUUGUCCGGAAUCAUUGGGCGUAAAGAGCGUGUAGGCGGCCCGAUAAGUCCGCUGUGAAAGUCGAGGGCUCAACCCUCGAAUGCCGGCGGAUACUGUCGGGCUAGAGUCCGGAAGAGGCGAGUGGAAUUCCUGGUGUAGCGGUGAAAUGCGCAGAUAUCAGGAGGAACACCUACGGCGAAGGCAGCUCGCUGGGACGGUACUGACGCUGAGACGCGAAAGCGUGGGGAGCAAACAGG